GAUAAAAGGUAAACAAUAGGGUACAGAAGAAAAAAGAGGGAGGGAUGAAUGGUUACAAUUCAUUCCACACAAUUUUGCACUUUUAGUCAAUUUAUUCGCUUUAUACGUUUAGUAGAGUUCGCAUUUUGUGUUACAUAACGGAGUGUGAGCGUCUGGGUGGUUAUAUUCAUAUUAUUAACGGUAGUGUCGACUGUUUUCCCUUCUGCAGUUGGGACGCAUUUGAGGUGGUUGUUUGUGGAUUGGGUGAGCAUGUGUCGUAUUCGGAGAAUGUGUGUUCGUAGUUGAAUUGGGGGGGGGAACAUCAGGGGAGAAAGGGGGAAAACUGGAAACCUGGUAUACUGAAUUUACCACAUCGAAUAUGCAGUGUGAUGUAAUGUGGGGAGUUGCGGUUGGAUGUGUAAUAGUAUCUUUUUUUUUUUUUUUAUUCUUUUUUUUUCUUGUGCAUGGAAAGACUGAACAUUUUCUUGCGAUGCCACAACAGCAAUAGCAAGCUGGGUAGUAGCAUUGAACUUGGUAUGGCAUACAAUUAAACAGCACAUUUUUAUAUUAAAGACAGGCGAAAACUGAAACGUUAUGUCACAAGAGUAGAUAUAAUUUUAUGCUAAAGUUGCUAAUAAUUCAAACAUAUGCGUCAGUAAGGUAAGUAUAAACGUAUGCAUCUGUAAGGUAAGUAUAAGGUGGGAUACAGAUAUGGUAUUUAGAAUCCAUGCUAAUACAAGUGGGGUGGUUGCAUAAUGUAAGGGGUGUUAUUAGGUUCUUUAAUGAGGGUCGCUAGGGGUGCGGACCACAAUGAUCCCAUACAGUUACAGUCUUGGGUCAAUUAAGGAGACCUGCUUAGGGUGUCCGAGGUAACCCGUUAAGUGUGGUGGGUAGGGGUACUUAGAACAGGCUCACUAUAGUUUUAGCAGGCUUUUGUGUAUAUCCCUGUUAGGCCGUUUCUCUGGGUGAUCGCGCCUAUGUGUGAGACAUCCGAGCAGGGCAUAAAACAGGCAAUGAGGGUUAAACUACAAUUAGGUCACAAUGAUCAUUGUAUUGUGAGUGUCAUAACGAGGGGUUGCGCCCUGCCGGGUGAUGGCAGUUUGGGCCGCUGAGGUGCAGGCGGGUUUGGCAUAUUUGCAGGAUCCCCUUCGAGGCGUGGGAGCACCAGUGCUGGUGCCUAGGAUACUUGGCGUUGUUUCCCUCUGUGCUGGUUUCCGGCUCCGCUGGUGGGCCGGCCUAAGUGGCGCCGGAUUGCUGGGCAGAUCCACGCUGCCACCUCUUUGAUCACCAUCAAGUAGGGCCGUCUCUGAGCCUGGAGCUUUAUCCAAAUGCUGGCGCAGAUCUGGUCGAAGAACUCCCGUGAGUGCUUGGGAGGCUUGAUUAGAGUGCGUUUAGUGGUAGGCUGUGUCCGUGCCACCAUCUUGUGUGGGCCUGGAUAUGCCUGUGUUGCUU